rnacentral:tRNA from 1 species
GCCCUGGUAGCUCAAUGGUAGAGCAAUGCUCUCGUAAAGCAUAGGUUGUGGGUUCAAGUCCCAUCCAGGGCU